GCUCCCUUCAGCAGCACAUAUACUAAAAUUGGAACAAUACAGAGAAGAUUACCAUGGCCCCUGUGCAAGGAUGACACACAAAUUCAUGAAGGGCUCCGUAUUUUU
rnacentral:snRNA from 1 species